CCGAUAAACCUCAAAGCAGGACUGCCAAGCGGGGCCAAACCGAGGCUGAAAUCAGCCUACAAGCUCGCUGUUCGAGCUGGGUAUUCUGCUCCCAAGCUUCUGACCUUGCUGAAUCGGUUCUGCAGGGAUGAAAUCAGUGGCUGAAUGGACACGGUUUGACUAGAUUCGGUGGCCACAGUGAUGGAACGACCAGGAACCGGGCUGAGUUGCAGCUGCGGGGCUUGCGGGACGUGAGGUCUCUCGGAGGAAUCCUUUUCGUCGCUGCUGGAGUUAACCAUGAGAAGAAGUUGCUGAUUUGCUGACCGAAUGAAAUACGUGGGUGAGCUACAGGGAAGAAAAUUCUCGGUGGGGAUGAGGCAUGCGUGAGUGCGGCAUGGCAGAGAAGAAGAGGAAUCGUGGGGCUGCUUCUGCGGGUUUGCUU
rnacentral:lncRNA from 1 species